AUUGAACGCUGGCGGCAGGCUUAACACAUGCAAGUCGAGCGGGGUGAUGGUGCUUGCACUAUCACUUAGCGGCGGACGGGUGAGUAAUGCUUAGGAAUCUGCCUAUUAGUGGGGGACAACAUCUCGAAAGGGAUGCUAAUACCGCAUACGUCCUACGGGAGAAAGCAGGGGAGCACUUGUGACCUUGCGCUAAUAGAUGAGCCUAAGUCGGAUUAGCUAGUUGGUGGGGUAAAGGCCUACCAAGGCGACGAUCUGUAGCGGGUCUGAGAGGAUGAUCCGCCACACUGGGACUGAGACACGGCCCAGGCUCCUACGGGAGGCAGCAGUGGGGAAUAUUGGACAAUGGGGGGAACCCUGAUCCAGCCAUGCUGCGUGUGUGAAGAAGGCCUUAUGGUUGUAAAGCACUUUAAGCGAGGAGGAGGCUCUUUUGGUUAAUACCCAAGAUGAGUGGACGUUACUCGCAGAAUAAGCACCGGCUAACUCUGUGCCAGCCGCCGCGGUAA
rnacentral:rRNA from 1 species